GUUUUUUCUUUCUGUCGCAUAAUGUUUUUUAAUUUUUUUUAUUUACGUUAAAGCAUGGAACGUAUCAUUUUCACAUUAUAAUUAAUAGCAUGAGACCGUCAUCUCAAUAAUUGUUGCAGAUGUAAGUACUUUGAAAACUAAAAUUAUUAAAACAAAAAUGAUUCUGGUUUUAGGUUACAGCUACAGGUGUUGCUAUUUACAAUAUUGAAUAUAGAAUAUAGAAUAGCGGUUUUUAAACUUUUGGUGCCCACGGACCAUUGACAAAAGACUUUAGAAAUCGCGGACCCCCUUACUACCUUUUUUUUUUUUACAAAAUAUCUCAUUUUAUCAAUAUUUACCGAUAGAGCAGACGCGGACUUCCGACAUGAAUAUCACUCCCCCCCCCCAGGAGGCCGCAGACUUCAGUUUUAAAAACCACUGAUCUAAGUUGUUCUACAGUGUAAUCUUUAUAGUAACAAUUCUGUUAAUACUUCUACAUUUUUAUUUUCAAUCGUAUUUUAUGCGAGGGGGACAUAUGUAGAGCGGCAGUAGUAGUGUACGAUAGUGGCAGAUUUAAAGGGUGGGGGUUGAGGUUACGGAAUAAUUACCCCCUCCCUACGGGCAUUUUUUCAAAAGAUUAUACUCACCGUUGGACUCUUAGAUAAUAAGGGCAACCCUUAUCAUAUUAUCGACUCAAGGUUGACAUCCUGAGUCAUACUAUCGAAUUCCUACAGCAAUUGAAUAAUGCAGUGGUUAUCUCGUUAUCAUAAUUUUAAAAACACGUUUUCGACCAUUUGGAUUUCACAAUGACAACAGACAAACCUAACCUAACGAAUCUUUUAACCAAAAUUCUAAGAAAUUUUAGUGACUAAAUUACCAUUUUCACGUACCUAGUUUAUAGUUUUUAAUUUCUUCGUUAAAUAUUAUAUAGUUUUUAACAAAUUCGUAAUAUAAAUAAUGUUAAUAUUAAAAUAACAUUAAUAAUUACUUGAUAUUUUACUAUUAUUAAUAAUAUACAAGUAGAACCUAAAAAAAUUAUAUUUUAAUGUGUAUGCGAAAGUAUUUUGUAAUUUAAAAAAAAUACAUGUUAUGAAAAGUGAAGUAGGUGUAUAUUUUCUACGUUGUGUUUAAGGUAGCUACAGAUCUGUAAAUUCAAUUAUUAUAUGGCCUAUUCUAAUGUUUAAAAUAGUGUGUCAAUUUCCAGUUAUUUAUAGAUAUUUGACAUUUUUGAGUUUUUUAAGUUUUUAUUAGUUUUUAUGUGGUAAAUUGUUUUCGCCUAGCUAAAAUAUUUAACAAUUUUAUUUGAUUUUCAUCACAAGUUGUAUUUAGAAGUAAAACAAUUGCAUAAUAUUACACUGAUAAUUUUUCUCUGAGGAUUCUGGUAGUUUAAACGAAGAUGAAAAUAAUAAAACAAUUUGCAUUAAUACGUGUAUGGAAUCGUUUUUCAUUAGAAAUAAUUUAUCAAAACAAAUUUGAAUAUUAGUUCUUAAAAUACCAAUUUAUAUGUGUAUAAUAUACUGAUAUUGCAAUCGGUAUUGAUAUCAGCUUCAAAUAUUUAAUUUAUGUUUAGUACAUAAAUACUUUAAUUUAAAAAUUAAACCAAAAACAAAGUAAAAUUUAUAUGGCUAAUAGUUGUUGAUUUAUGUUAAAUACAGAAGAAGAUAUUACUGAAUUUCUUUGUGGAAUUCCCAAGAGUCGUCAACUAUGUUAGGAAUCCAAAAGUCAAUGGAAAUGUGCAUUAACCGUAUUUAUAGUUAUGGUAGACGAUGGAAACAUGAUUUCAUUACUUAUGGCCAAUUGGUCAUAGCUGGAUUGUAUUAUACGGGAUAUGGAGAUUGUGUGCGAUGUGCCUAUUGCAAAAGAGAAUUUAAUAACUGGCGUUUUGGUGAUGAUCCCACUAUGAAACAUAAAAAGUUAUCUCCAGAAUGUCCUUAUUUUAAAUUGAC